rnacentral:rRNA from 1 species
AUUGAACGCUGGCGGCAGGCCUAACACAUGCAAGUCGAACGAGUGGCGGACGGGUGAGUAAUGUCUGGGAAACUGCCCGAUGGAGGGGGAUAACUACUGGAAACGGUAGCUAAUACCGCAUACCAUCGGAUGUGCCCAGAUGGGAUUAGCUAGUAGGUGGGGUAACGGCUCACCUAGGCGACGAUCCCUAGCUGGUCUGAGAGGUUGACCAGCCACACUGGAACUGAGACACGGUCCAAACUCCUAGGGGAGGCACCGGUGGGGAAUAUUGCAAAAUGGGCGCAAGCCGGAUGCAGCCAUGCCGCGUGUAUGAGGAAGGCCUUCGGGUUGUAAAGUACUUUCAGCGAGGAGGCGUUACUCGCAGAAGAAGCACCGGCUAACUCCGUGCCAGCCGCCGCGGUAAUAC